rnacentral:rRNA from 1 species
UGGGGAAUAUUGCACAAUGGACGCAAGUCUGAUGCAGCCAUACCGCGUGUGUGAAGAAGGCCCGAGGGUUGUAAAGCACUUUCAAUAGAGAGGAAGAUUAAGUAGUUAAUACCUGCUUAGUUUGACGUUACCUAUAGAAGAAGCACCGGCUAACUCUGUGCCAGCAGCCGCGGUAAUACAGAGGGUGCAAGCGUUAUUCGGAAUUACUGGGCGUAAAGCGCGCGUAGGCGGAUGAUUAAGUCAGUUGUGAAAGCCCUGGGCUCAACCUAGGAACUGCAUCUGAUACUGGUCAUCUAGAGUUUAAGAGAGGGAAGUGGAAUUCCAGGUGUAGCAGUGAAAUGCGUAGAUAUCUGGAGGAACAUCAGUGGCGAAGGCGACUUCCUGGCUUAAAACUGACGCUGAGGUGCGAAAGCGUGGGUAGCGAACGGGAUUAGAUACCCCGGUAGUCCACGCCGUAAACGGAUGUCAAACUAGUUGUUGGUCUUAUUAAAAAAGGAUUAGUAACGAAGCUAACG